UUGCUUCCGCUGACGACCGGCGCACGGGUGCGUAACGCGUAUGCAACCUACCUCAUACUGGAGAAUAGCCCUUGGAAACGAGGAUUAAUGCUCCAUAGUAUCACAGAUUCGCAUGUUUCUGUGAUUAAAGAAUUUCGGUAUGAGAUGGGCAUGCGUCCCAUUAGCUUGUUGGUGAGGUAACGGCUCACCAAGGCAACGAUGGGUAGGGGGCCUGAGAGGGUGACCCCCCACACUGGUACUGAGACACGGACCAGACUCCUACGGGAGGCAGCAGUGAGGAAUAUUGGGCAAUGGAGGCAACUCUGACCCAGCCAUGCCGCGUGAAGGAUGACUGCCCUAUGGGUUGUAAACUUCUUUUAUAUGGGAAGAAACUUAUCUACGUGUAGAUAACUGACGGUACCAUACGAAUAAGGAUCGGCUAACUCCGUGCCAGCAGCCGCGGUAAUACGGAGGAUCCAAGCGUUAUCCGGAUUCAUUGGGUUUAAAGGGUCCGUAGGCGGGUCUUUA
rnacentral:rRNA from 1 species